CUUUCCAAUCCAGUGUUUUUGAACUCAGCAUAAAAAGGAUAAGCCGGCUUCUCAACAAUGGAUUCAAGAGUAUCAUAAACCAACUUGCUAUCCACCAAAAACCUCAAGUACCCCUCAACAGAAGGCUCCCAUUUGGGGACAGCCUGCUCCUCUGGCUUCUCAACCUCCUUCUCCCCUUCUUUAGCCUGCUCCCUGGUAUGCAACUUCAUCGCUACAAACCUCAUCUCCUCCACAAACCCCUUAGCCUCUCCUGGGUAGCGCUUUUUAGGUUUCUCCGCAGUGGUGGCGGAAACAACAGCAGCAGCUUUCAUGGGCAUAUUCACAAUUCUCAGAGAGAGAGGGAAUUGAAACUGAAAAGAAACUCUUUUGGGUAUAAAAAUGGAUUGGAAAUUAUCAGUCGAAAGAGAGUGACAUGGGGAAACUUGGAGGUGGGUUUUGUUAAAUAAAGAUUGGGAUUGAGUGAUUGGAUUAAGAGAAACCAUUUUGUCGACACAGAGCUAGAAAAUAGUUGAACCCUAAAAAAAAAGAGUAUAGAAUUGGAUAGAGAAAGAGUAUACGUCACCCUUAGAAUGAAAGAAGAAUAAGAAAACACACGAAGAAAAAAUACCAGUGAUAAAGAAAGUGUUGAAAGUGUAUUUGGCUUGUAAUAGCAGCUAAAGUAGGCUUGAAGACAAAGCGAGUGCUUAAACUAAUGGAAGAAAGAGAAUAAAUAAUCGAGUAUGGGCAAUGGGAUUCCUGUUUCUUGCGUUUUUAUCAUUGAAAAUGGAGUUUUUAUAGGUUAUCUAGCGCUCGAUGAUGUGCAAGAAAUUGAUGAUGACGAUGAUUAUUUGGUUACUGUUUAUUGAGGAAGAGUUUUGAUGUUGAAUUCGUUUAUUG
rnacentral:misc_RNA from 1 species